UAAUACGGAGGGGGCCAGCGUUGUCCGAAGUUACUGGGCGUAAAGCGCGCGUAGGCGGGUUGCUAAGUCUGCUGUGAAAGCCCGAAGCUCAACUUCGGAGGGUCGGUGGAUACUGGCAGCCUUGAAGGUGCUAGGGAGAAGUGGAAUUACCGGUGUAGCGGUGAAAUGCGUAGAGCUCGGUAGGAACACCAGUGGCGAAGGCGGCUUCUUGGGGCACUCUUGACGCUGAGGCGCGAAAGCUGGGGGAGCGAACGGGAUUAGAUACCCCGGUAGUCCCAGCCCUAAACGAUGGAUACUAGGUGUCGGGGGUAUCGACCCCCCCGGUGCCGUCGCUAACGCAGUAAGUAUCCCGCCUGGGGAGUACGGCCGCAAGGUU
rnacentral:rRNA from 1 species